UCUUUACCCUUUGUUUUAGAUCUGUUCAGCUGAAUGUCAUUUUUUUUUUUUUUUGCAGUUUUCACACCUAUUAUUGUAUCCUGUGUGCUAUGGAAAACCAGCAGGAUGGCAUGCUGAGGCUUUCCAUCACAAAGAGCAAUUAAAAUACUGCAGGUCUAUCUCACAAAGUACACAUGGCAGAACUGGAGUUUCCAUUCCCUCUCCGCACUUAGUUAAGGACCUACAGGCUUCCAGGCCACUGGACUGACCGUACUCUACUCUCACUUCAGCACCAGAAACCUCCAUGGCAUCAGAG
rnacentral:lncRNA from 1 species